rnacentral:rRNA from 1 species
GCCUAACACAUGCAAGUCGAGCGGCAGCAUGCUUAGUAGCAAUACUAAGUGAUGGCGAGCGGCGGACGGGUGAGGAAUACGUAGGAACCUGCCCAAGAGAGGGGGACAACCAAUGGAAACGUUGGCUAAUACCGCAUAAUCUCUUAGGAGAAAAGUUGCCCGUAAGGGUAGCGCUUUUGGAGGGGCCUGCGUCCGAUUAGCUAGUUGGUGAGGUAAUGGCUCACCAAGGCUGUGAUCGGUAACUGGUCUGAGAGGCCGACCAGUCACACUGGGACUGAGACACGGCCCAGACUCAUACGGGAGGCAGCAGUGGGGAAUCUUGGACAAUGGGGGCAACCCUGAUCCAGCGAUGCCGCGUGGGUGAAGAAGGCCUUCGGGUUGUAAAGCCCUUUAGGCUGGGACGAAGGAUGUGGGACGAAUAAUCCUGCAUUUUGACGGUACCAGCAGAAUAAGCACCGGCAAACUCUGUGCCAGCAGCCGCGGUAAAAC